UUGUGUCACAGAGCUUUUAUCAGAUUCUUAAAUUUUUCUUAUUUGUUUUGAAGCCUCUCUCCAGAACCCCAUGGUGGCUGAACCCCAGAAACCAGGUGGCUGCAGCUUGGAGUGGCAGAGGGACACAGAGCAGCACUGCCCUGGGCCAUGUGGUGGGCAGUACCCAUGUGGUGCCUUGCAGACACCCAAGGGAAGCUGCAGCUGUCCUGAGCACCACAACUUGUUCUGGAACUGAAUGAAGGCCUUAGAAAGUCCCUGCCUAACCCCAUCCACAGGAAAGAUGGGUUUGUGUGUCAGACAAGUUUCCUGGAGCUGGACAUUAAUGUAACCCAUAGCAAGCUGUUCUAUGUGCAGAAGGUGCUGGAAGAGAAAAUGAGAGAUUUCAUGAGAUCUGAGGAAUAAGAACAGUCCUUAAAUUCAAUUCUCCUUGGUGCACUUGCAUAUAACAGUCUCUUGACACUUGUGUCUUCUUUUAAAAUACUAAUAGCCUUCCUCUGGAUAGUUCUUCAUGAUCAGCAAGUAAAAAGGAUUAGGAAAGAAAAA